rnacentral:rRNA from 1 species
UACGUAGGGUGCGAGCGUUGUCCGGAUUUAUUGGGCGUAAAGAGCUCGUAGGCGGUUUGUCGCGUCGUUCGUGAAAUCUCCACGCUUAACGUGGAGCGUGCGGUCGAUACGGGCAGACUUGAGUUCGGUAGGGGAGACUGGAAUUCCUGGUGUAGCGGUGAAAUGCGCAGAUAUCAGGAGGAACACCGGUGGCGAAGGCGGGUCUCUGGGCCGAUACUGACGCUGAGGAGCGAAAGCGUGGGGAGCGAACAGG